CUACGGGACGCUGCAGUGGGGAAUAUUGGGCAAUGGGCGCAAGCCUGACCCAGCAACGCCGCGUGAGGGAAGAAUGUCUUCGGAUUGUAAACCUCUGUCCUUGGGGACGAAAAAAAUGACGGUACCCAAGGAGGAAGCUCCGGCUAACUACGUGCCAGCAGCCGCGGUAAUACGUAGGGAGCAAGCGUUGUCCGGAAUUAUUGGGCGUAAAGGGUGCGUAGGCGGCAAUACAAGUCAGAUGUGAAAUCCCCGGGCUUAACUCGGGUAUUGCAUUUGAAACUGUAUAGCUUGAGUAAAGAAGAGGUAAGUGGAAUUCCUAGUGUAGCGGUGGAAUGCGUAGAUAUUAGGAGGAACACCAGUGGCGAAGGCGACUUACUGGUCUUUUACUGACGCUGAGGCACGAAAGCGUGGGGAGCAAACAGGAUUAGAUACCCGGGUAGUC
rnacentral:rRNA from 1 species